rnacentral:rRNA from 1 species
UACGUAGGGUGCGAGCGUUGUCCGGAAUUAUUGGGCGUAAAGAGCGUGUAGGCGGCCAGGUAGGUCGGUUGUGAAAACUGGAGGCUCAACCUUCAGAGGUCGACCGAAACCAUCUGGCUAGAGUCCGGGAGAGGAGAGUGGAAUUCCUGGUGUAGCGGUGAAAUGCGCAGAUAUCAGGAGGAACACCGGUGGCGAAGGCGGGUCUCUGGGCCGUAACUGACGCUGAGGAGCGAAAGCGUGGGGAGCGAACAGG